rnacentral:rRNA from 1 species
GAUGAACGCUGGCGGCGUGCCUAAUACAUGCAAGUCGAGCGAACGGACGAGAAGCUUGCUUCUCUGAUGUUAGCGGCGGACGGGUGAGUAACACGUGGAUAACCUACCUAUAAGACUGGGAUAACUUCGGGAAACCGGAGCUAAUACCGGAUAAUAUUUUGAACCGCAUGGUUCAAAAGUGAAAGACGGUCUUGCUGUCACUUAUAGAUGGAUCCGCGCUGCAUUAGCUAGUUGGUAAGGUAACGGCUUACCAAGGCAACGAUGCAUAGCCGACCUGAGAGGGUGAUCGGCCACACUGGAACUGAGACACGGUCCAGACUCCUACGGGAGGCAGCAGUAGGGAAUCUUCCGCAAUGGGCGAAAGCCUGACGGAGCAACGCCGCGUGAGUGAUGAAGGUCUUCGGAUCGUAAAACUCUGUUAUUAGGGAAGAACAUAUGUGUAAGUAACUGUGCACAUCUUGACGGUACCUAAUCAGAAAGCCACGGCUAACUACGUGCCAGCAGCCGCGGUAAUACGUAGGUGGCAAGCGUUAUCCGGAAUUAUUGGGCGUAAAGCGCGCGUAGGCGGUUUUUUAAGUCUGAUGUGAAAGCCCACGGCUCAACCGUGGAGGGUCAUUGGAAACUGGAAAACUUGAGUGCAGAAGAGGAAAGUGGAAUUCCAUGUGUAGCGGUGAAAUGCGCAGAGAUAUGGAGGAACACCAGUGGCGAAGGCGACUUUCUGGUCUGUAACUGACGCUGAUGUGCGAAAGCGUGGGGAUCAAACAGGAUUAGAUACCCUGGUAGUCCACGCCGUAAACGAUGAGUGCUAAGUGUUAGGGGGUUUCCGCCCCUUAGUGCUGCAGCUAACGCAUUAAGCACUCCGCCUGGGGAGUACGACCGCAAGGUUGAAACUCAAAGGAAUUGACGGGGACCCGCACAAGCGGUGGAGCAUGUGGUUUAAUUCGAAGCAACGCGAAGAACCUUACCAAAUCUUGACAUCCUUUGACAACUCUAGAGAUAGAGCCUUCCCCUUCGGGGGACAAAGUGACAGGUGGUGCAUGGUUGUCGUCAGCUCGUGUCGUGAGAUGUUGGGUUAAGUCCCGCAACGAGCGCAACCCUUAAGCUUAGUUGCCAUCAUUAAGUUGGGCACUCUAAGUUGACUGCCGGUGACAAACCGGAGGAAGGUGGGGAUGACGCCAAGUCAUCAUGCCCCUUAUGAUUUGGGCUACACACGUGCUACAAUGGACAAUACAAAGGGCAGCGAAACCGCGAGGUCAAGCAAAUCCCAUAAAGUUGUUCUCAGUUCGGAUUGUAGUCUGCAACUCGACUACAUGAAGCUGGAAUCGCUAGUAAUCGUAGAUCAGCAUGCUACGGUGAAUACGUUCCCGGGUCU